AUGCCACCCCAAGCGUGCCACGAGGUGGCGGGGUGGGGGGCGAGCCGGGACGCCGCCCAGGGUCGGGCUCCCUGGGUGACAGGCAUAAGGAAUCUGGAAAUCAGGCCAUGGGAUGAAGGGGAGAGACUGAAGAAUGGAACCCACGCCGGCUCAGAGGAGUCCGCGGUCCUCAAAGCCGCCAGCCUUCUAGAAGCCUUCUCAGGCCCGGCUCUCCCUCCCGCGGCCAGAGAAACCAUCUGCCCUUUGGAGGAGACCUGCAGCCCCGGGGCGGAGCCUAGGGUUCCCGCUAGGGGCGGUAAGACCUGCACUCCUGGACCUGAAACAGUGUGUCCAGAGGGAAGGAAACCCGCAGACUGUGAAGGAGAUCGCGCUGGACAUCUUGGGUCUUCCUCCCAAACGUAUCCCUCUGAUCUAACCUAAUCACACAGCUUACAAGAGGGGCAUCUGACAGCACACCUGACAAGUGUUCCUCAAGACUGCCAAGGUCGUCAAAACACAUGAAAGUCUGGGGAAACGUCACAGUCAAGAGGAGCCUAAGGAGACAAUGGCAAUUAAAGGUAAUGUGUCCUAGAUGGAGUCUUAGGAUAGAAAAGCGACAGCUGGUAAAAAUGAGGAAAUCUGAAUAACUGUGGACUAUUUAACAUGUCACUCAGAAAGCAUAUUAAACAGCAGAGACAAAGGUCUGUCUAGUCAAAGAUACGGUUUUUAAUGUAGUUGUGUAUGGAUGUGAGAGUUGGACCAUAAACAAAGCUGAGCACCAAAGAAUUGAUGCUUUUGAAAUGUGGUGUUGGAGAAGGUUCUUGAGAGUCCCUCCAACUGCAAGGAGAUCAAACCAGUCAAUCCUAAAGGAAAUCAGUCCUGAAUAUUCAUUGGAACGACUGACGCUGAAACGGCAAUAUUUUGGCCACCUGAUGCAAAGAAUUGACUCAUUAGAAAAGAUCCUGAUGCUGGGAAAGAUUGAAGGCAGGAGGAAAAGGGGACGACAGAGGAUGAGAUGCUUGGAUGGCAUCACUGACACGAUGGACAUGAAUUUGAGCAAGCUCCAGGAGUUGGUGAUGGACAGGGAAGCCUAGAGUGCCGCAGUCCUUGGGAUGCUGAAGAAUCGGACCCGAAUGAGUGACUGAACUAAACUGAAAGGUGGGGAAAAUGGGUGAAAGUAGUUAAAAGGUACAAACAUUCAGUCAUAAAAUAAAUCCUAGAGAUGCAAUGUACACCAUGGUGACUAUAGUUAAUAACACGCAUGCAUGCUCACUUGCUCAGUCAUGUCCAACUCUUUGCAACCCCAUGGACUGCAACCCACCAGGCUCCUCUGUUGAUGAAAUUUUCCAGGCAAGAAUAUUGGAGUGGGUUGCCAUUUCCUACUCCAGGGUAUCUUCCCAACCCAGGGAUCAAACCCAUGUCUCCUGUGUCUCCUAUAUUGGCAGCUGAAUUCUAUACCAGAGCCACCUGGGAAGCCCUAUAAUUAAUAAUAAUGUAAUGGCUUCCCUGGUGGCUCAGAGGUUAAAGCAUCUGCCUGCAGUGUGGGAGACCUGGGUUCGAUCCCUGGGUCAGGAAGAUCCCGUGGAGAAGGGAAUGGCAACCCACUCCAGGAUUCUUGCCUGGAGAAUCCUGUGGACGGAGGAGUCUGGUGGGCUACAGUCCACGGGGUCGCAAAGAGUCAGACACAACUGAGCGACUUCACUUCACUUCACUCCAUAUUUGAAAAUUGCUAAAGAGGCGAUCUCAAAAUUCUUAAGAAAAUUUUGUAACUAUGUGUGGUGAUGGAUGUUUACUAGACUUCUUGUCAUGAUCAUUACA
rnacentral:lncRNA from 1 species